CUAGGUGAAGCGUUUGUGUAUGCUGAAUGACACGGUGGGAUGGGACUGGGCGACCCUGGGCUCUUCUUGGGUUCCCACGGACACCCCACGAGCUUGCGAACCAGUCCUCCUCCGCCGGGGUAUUAUGUAUGUCACGCGUCCACAGUAUGUGCAUGCUGCUUUUGAAUAAAAUGACACAUACGCCACGGCGCAGAGUCUGAGCGGGCUGCUGAGGCAACGCGCAGCACCUGGGGUGAGCCACACGUAUGUCGGUAUGUGCCCAGUGCCCUCCGGCCUAUCAGCUACACACACCGCCUCCUCUUUACCUGACUGGGUUCACUGGGCCACCCCAGCCAUUCCUGCCGCCACCCAACACCACGUGAUCACACCCCGGCCCGGUCGCUCCACGCAGUCACUCGUGUCGCUCCGCACACACCUCCUGCCACAUAAGGCCACCUACCACAGACCAUAGACACGCGCUCGCUCGCUGGCCCACUCCUCCCAGCCCACGUCUUCAAGCCUUUACCCACACCUGCACACCAGCUUGCGGCACCAUGCCCCUCCCUUCUGCCAAACACACAAACAGCCCCAGCAUCUAGCCGUGCCGCUCCGAGCCCACACGUGGCUUUGGUCCUCCCCACCACCCCUCGCUACCAGGUCGCCCUCCGCCCGCCGCGCUACCAGUUCUGUCGCUGCUCGGGUUUGAGCGUGAAAUAGUGCAGCGCCUGGCAGCGGUCCAGCCAGCGCUUGUAGGUGUCCCCCGCCGGGCUGCCGGGCGCCAGGUCGGGCAGCUCCAGCAGCCGGUCCAGCCACAGCACCGGCAGGGUCUCACGCUGCAGCCGCUGUGGGGGGGGAGUGUGGGGGGAGUGUGGGGGGGAGUGGGGGAGUGUGGGGGAGUGUGGGGGGGAGUGUGGGGGAGUGUGUGGGGGGAGUGUGUGGGAGUGUGGGCAGUGUGUGGGGGAGGGCGGGCAGAAGCGGCGGGGGCAGCCAGGGACAGGAGCGGGGACGGAAGCGGAGGAAACAGCAGCGGAAGGAGCGGAACGGGAGGAGGGUAGGGCACGUGAGGAGGGGAGUCGUUCUGGGAUGCAGCAGACAGUCCCAGGCCACACAGGGUGUGGGGGUGGCGCCCGCCUGGACCCUGCUGACAGUGCGCCGCCACAGGGCGCCAGGCUCGUGUGUGUGUGUGUGUGUGUGUGUGUGUGUGUGUGUGUGUGUGUGUGUGUGUGUGUGUGUGUGUGUGUGUGUGUGUGUAAGUUGGGGGGGAGUUGCCGCGCUUGGACUUCAGGUGGGGCCUUCGCUGACACAGACAGCACUGGCAGGCAUUGGGCCGCUGCCGCACCUGCAGCAGCAGCGGGCUGUUGAGUCGCUCCAGCUCCGCAUGCGGCACCGCGGUGAAGGAGCUGGAGCCAGCGGGCGGCGGCGGCCCGGCGGCAGCCUGGGCGCAUGAGGGGGCGGGAUGAGUCAUGAGCAGCUCCCAUCGAGUUCUCAGUGUGAAGGUGCCAGGCUUGGAGGGCCAACAGACUGGGGCGCACGGAGUCAGGUACGGUACAGACAAAGACAUCGAUGUUGCACACGCAAGCAGGGCCACGGGCCCGCGCGGACGCACCCCCAGCCGGAUGGUGGUGUCUGGCGAGGGCGCUGCGCCGGUGGUGUUGCGCAGGUGGUGGAACUCCACGGCCAUCAUGCCGCGGCCCACGUCCUGGCCCCGGGGCUGGCGGUUGGCCAGGCAGUCUGCGCGGGCGGGGCGGGUGUGGCGGGGCGGGUGAGGCGGGGCGGGUGUGGCGGGGCGGGUGUGGCGGGGCGGGUGUGGCGGGGUGGGUGUGGCGGGGUGGGUGCGGCGGGGUGGGUGCGGCGGGGCGGGUGUGGCGGGGCGGGUGCGGCGGGGCGGGUGUGGCGGGGUGGGUGUGGCGGGGUGGGUGCGGCGGGGCGGGUGUGGCGGGGUGGGUGCAGCGGGGUGGGUGUGGCGGGGCGGGUGCGGCGGGGCGGGUGUGGCGGGGUGGGUGCGGCGGGGCGGGUGUGGCGGGGUGGGUGUGGCGGGGUGGGUGUGGCGGGGCGGGAGGAAGGGAGGGAGCACACAGACAUGGGACAUGUGCACAUACAAGAGAGAGACCGUAUGGGCGGACCGUGGGCGCGGUGUGUUCGAGGAAUGGGGCUAGGCACAGCCGUUGGUGAAAUGUGUGUGCGGGAAUGCGGGUGCGGUGCCUGCAGUCCAGGACGCCGUGUGGGUGUUCUGUUUGGCACACGGUGCCCACCCGCCCCCACGGCCUCGGCCCCCGCCCCCGGCCCCCCGCCUCCUCACCAAAGUGCCCAAAGCCGGGCCACUCGCACUGCAGGCUCUCCAGCGUGUCCCCGAAGGGCAUCGCCACGUGCCCCGUGUUGAUGUGGGGCCAGGGGAUGGAGUGCUUGAGCGGCCGCUGCAGAGUGCAGACCCGCCGCCUUGGCCCGGGGCGUCAGGGCCUGCGCCCCACACGGGAACAACACACACAUACAUGUACACAUGUACACACACACACACACACACAAGCAGCGCUCAGCACUGGUCUCAGGUUAAAGGAAAUGGGUAGGACAGGUAGGCGCCGGCACCGGCGGCCGACUGCCGCCCAGCCUCCUCGCCUGGCCCAGCGACCUCUCCCGCCAGAGGAAGACCACUACGAUGCGCCCGCCCGCCCGCCCGCCCGCAGCCACACCACACGCAGCCACACACGCACACACGGCCACACCGCACACAGCCACACCGCAGGCAGCCGCGUUCGCUCGCUCUCACCCAGUCUGUGUCGCAGGGCAGUGCCGGCCAGGCGGCUAUGGCCCCCAGCACCACCGCCACCUGCGCCAGGCCCUGAGCCGCCCGCACAAACUGCUCCUUGGCUAUGACGGGGUGAUUGGGAGCAGCCGGGUGGGUUUGGCGGCGAGGCGCGGAGUAGGGUCAAAACGAAGCAGUGGGCGGAAGACAAAAGACAGCGCGACCACAGUGCACAGGCACAGAGGCCGGGGGCUGGGCCAGCAGCGCCGUGGUCCUCCACAAACCCCUGGUUCCCUGCACCCUUGCCCCAUGAUCCCCUUCCCACCGCCCUCUUCCCGCCGCCCAUCCCCCUCCCGCUCCCCUCCCCCCCGCCACUCACUCAGUCCGGCGUGCACCACGCCCGGCGCGUAGGCCACGGUGUGCCGCAGCUCGGGCAGGUCCUCGUAGCUGCGCCCGCCGAACGCCUGGUUGGCCACGUAGAUGCGGGUGCGGCUCUGAGCCACCCUGCGCACAGCUGCUAACUACGCUCAGACUGACCCCGAUAAACGUUGAAUACAAGCAAGCACGUCUGAAAGAGCGCCUAGGCCACUGGCCAUGUCGACUGUUGCGCCGGUCGCCAACAAGUUCUAGGGGCCCGUGUGUUUGGUUGAGAUGCUAUGGCAUGUUUAUUCACCAACACAAUAGGAACGAACGUUCCGUGGAACGAAGAAUUGUGUUUGAACGAAAGGAUGCACGAUGGUUAUAUCCGGUAUUUGUAAAUCUGUAUUUUUAUGCCUAGAUGUCGUCAAGCUAAGUCGUUGACCCCCGUCACAUGCCUUGUCACGUUCCCAAACACCCCAAGCAUUUCUUUCGCCUCCUGCCAUACUCAACACCUCUACGGCGCCCCACGCUCAAAGGGCUAGGCGCGGGGCGGCCGGGCGGGGGCGACCUCGGGGCUUCUCCGAGUGUCCUAGCCGAUGCGCUUGCGUGUCGUCAAGCGUGUCGUAGCAGCAUGGAGGCUCUGACGGGGCGUUACACGCCUAUUAGCUCCCAAGCAUGCGGGGGCUCAGCCCAUUUUUGGGCUGAGCCCCCCCAGCGCAGCGUUUCAGAGGGGGAGGGCGAAGCCCCCCAGGAACACCCCUGUCCGUGCUGCGUGCGUGCGUGGCGGAACCUCAUAGGCGGAACCUCAUCAAGGCCUUGUGGUGCGCGACUGGUAUAAAUGCUCUACUGUGCCCUUGCAUGGUCAGUGGUGCCGCUCCUUCCGCACACAGCCCCAUCCAAUGCUUGUACUUGCUCAUCUGCACGCCUGGUUGCUUGUUGUCCGAUGGGAAAGUGUGUUUGGCUCAGACUGCAGCCGCUCGUGCUUCCACGCCUUCAUUAGACUCUCUCGAAAGGCGGAUACUAUUUGCCCUUCAGGCAGUGGGCUACCUGCUCGGCUCUCCUCCCUUUCCGGCCUGAUCAUGUGCAUACGGCCUUGCCAUACGUCUACGCCAUGCGCUGAGAUAAAACGGAAAAGACGUGCACACCACCCAUCUCCCUCUGGGUGUACUAACGCGUCUUGUACUUCAUCAAUUAGUGCAUCGUGGGCUAGGCUAUCCUUCUGCACGGCAAUCCUGUUGUAGAAUCCAAUGCAAAGCUUGGCGAAAAAGAAAUGGAGUGGUAAUUGUGCUAAUUCAGCAAACAGCAGGCGAUGCGAAGAACGUCAACGCUUUAUUCACUUUUGCGCCAAAACCGGCCAAAAACGUCUACACCUGCGUAGAUGCGCGGCACCCACGGCACCCAAACCCAAAAUUUUUUCUCCGCCUUCGGCGGAUUUUGGGCAGAUAUCUACAGUGUAGAUGGAAGAUACGAGCACUGAAAUGCGCACACAGCACUCACACGUGAUGCUCAUCAGCCCUUAGCUCCUCCUUUGUCAGCACUCGAUUGGUAGCAGUAUCUGGCAACGCCGUCGCACUCCCUUCUUACUCUCACACACACGAUGAAAUACAGUCUCUCAGUGUUUGUAGCGGAAACAAUACGGUAAACACAAUGUGGCACGCGCUUGAGCGCCACUAUUUAUUCGUCUGUCGAUGACGUCUCUUGCUCUCAAAUACACGGCAAACACGACGAACACGUGUUCCGACUUUCAACCGUAAAACUGUUUUCACCCUCGUGUGCCUGCCUCACUCCUAUCAUGUUCGCACACCAUGUGCGCACAUGCCACAGUGUCGAGAUGUCGACUGCCAUCCACUGGUAUCUAUGACUAUGGCCGCUGUGACCUGCAAUGCGCAAUCAUGCGGCCCCUUGCGUAUUCCGGAUGUGAGACCAUCAUGCAUAUCAUUUUGCAUUAACUUGCGAUAGCUGUGAAAUUGCACACAGUUCUGGUACAUUAUUGCGCCUCCGCCCACCUGCUGCGGCUAGAAUGCGUGACCGCAAGCCACAGUCACAGGUGGCUGGAUAUGCUACUCUACAACCUCAAAACUAUGCCUGCACGCAACCUCAUAGCUGCAUGUGUCGCGCACUCUCGAAGUGCACCUGCAGCACCGCGCUUUCCAGGCCGCUGUCGCCAAUCACAGACUUGUCCGCCUCGGUGCGGCGGUCCGCUGCCGCCUCCCAGCGCUGCAGCUGCUGCUCUGACGCGUCGCCCGCGUAGACGCAGAAGCCGUCCAUGAUGAAGCGGUGCGGCAGGUGCACGAGCGCUCGCCGAGCCUUGGCCGGUGCUGGCUCCGGCGCCGCAGCCGCAGCCGCCAGCACCUGUGAACAAGUCGAAGGGCAUCGAGAGCGUGUGUAGUGGAUGCCGACGGAAGGGAGGGGUAGGCAGGGAGGGGAGCACCUGAAGUACACGACACUCGAGAUGGCGUCCAAUCCCAUGUACACCACCCCCACUCUGCCCGCCCGCAAAUACAUCGCCCCCACCCUGCCCGCCCCCACCUCGCCCGUCCCCACCACGCCCGCCCCCAACUCGCCCGGCCCCCCUCUGCCCGCCCCCACCCCGCCCGCGCACCCACGCCCUGCCCACCCGCCCGCAACCAUUCAGUGCUGGCGCCCGCAUAGUCCGCGAACCCAACCUACCUUGUCCAGCGUGAAGGCGGCCACCAGGAACAACGUGCGUGUGCAGCUGCUUGCUUGCGGCCUCCAUCUCUGCGACCGCAAGCACAGACGGUACUUACAAAUCACCCGAGCUACAUUGAUGAUGGCAAUAAGCGAACAACAAAAUCCCAGAAGACUCCGGCGUGUAAGCCUGACAUAAUCUCGCCUGUAUCCCGCUGGUGACUAACACACACAUGCACACACAUCCGUGUCCUUCCUACCACAUGUGCACCCCUGCCAUCAAUUACUCGCUUUGGCAGACACGUACUCACCUGCAGGGCUGUACUUAGUCUCGCCCGCGCGCAGCCGCAGUGCGUUCGCACCCUUGUCCACCUCGCAGCCCACGCCCGCGCCCUUGUCCACCUGCAAUACGCCCGUGUAAUGGCCGCGCAGCGCCGCGGCCACGCAGCGCACGAACAGCGUCGUCUCCAGCAGUGCCGCCCGCUCCUAGACGAUGAAUAGGGCAACAGGACAGCCGCGACAGUGACGCCACAUAAGUACGUCUACGCGCGGCUGGGCGUCAAGGGUCCCAGCACUAUCCUGCAGAGCAUGGACGACGUGCUGCAGUUCUUGCUGCCCUGCCGCACUCUGCUCACGGCGUCGCAAGAUGACACGUUUUUUCGCGCCGAGCAGACGGCCAGCAUGACGAGUCUGCUGGACAAGGUACGCUCACGCUUGCCGCAAGCCAAUCCUGUGCCAUAUGUGGAUGCAAUACCUGAUCCUGUUCACAUGCUUCUACGUUGUCCUGUUUGUGCAGGACACUGGCUUCCUCAACGUAGAAACUUGAGAAUAGGAUCAGGUAUUGCAUCCACGUAUGGCACAGGAUUGGCUCGCGGCAAGCGUGAGCGCACCUUGUCCAGCAGACUGGCCGUUCGCACGGCGCGAAAAAACGUGUCAUCUUGCGACGCCAUGAGCAGAGUGCGGCAGGGCAGCAAGAACUGCAGCACGUCGUCCAUGCUCUGCAGGAUAGUGCUGGGACCCUUGACGCCCAGCCGCGCGUAGACGUCGUUCACGGCGACCUCCAGCACCAUGCCGACGAUGUUCCGGGUCAUUCUGGCCUCCUUCGCCGCGGCUGCCGAGGCUGAUUUGGCCUCCUGCGCGGCUGAUUUGCCCUCCUCCGCGGCUGUUUGGCCUCUUGCGCGGCUGAUUUGGCGUCCAUCUCCGCUGCUUUGGCCUCCCUGACGCUCGCAAUUAGCUCCUGCGCCCCGUGGUGAUACACGUGGGCGUUCGGCUCCCAUAGUACAAUAAACGCGACAGGUAGAACGCAACCUACCAAAUCGGCACGCCAUCUACGUCAGCACAGCGUGCGCUGGACCGCAACACGGCCAGCACCCAGCGAGCUCCCUGAGUCACGCCCCAUAACGAGGGAUGCCUUGUAAGCGGCUCGCAGCUGGCACGGCGAGCGGCCGGGCGCACCAAACGGCGCCACAACCAGCCGGGAUCUCAGGGUUGACGCGGCACUGCUGCUCGCCAGCAUGCUUGAUAUCCCUAAGCAAUGAGGCUAACCGCUUGUCAAGUGCCGAGUGGAGCGCGAAAAUCUGUACUAUGAUGCAGCUCAGUUGAGGUUACUGAGGUUCUAGCCUCUAGGCUAACACUAGGCUAGGCGUAAGUAAUAGGCUAAUAGUAGGAAUACUGGUUGCCAGCGUGAAAGCGUGACGAGCCUUCUCCGCCUCUGAGUCUGAAUCGCCCGACGACCCUAAUGCGGGGCCGAUUCCCAGAGCGUGACUUAGAACUCAUUGCGCUCAAUACAUGAAUGCAUAAACGUCAAGGAGCAUGUGGGCACGCCCUCGCAGCCCCCCGUCCUGUACAGCGCAAGCCGACAACCACGAUGUGACUCGCUCGGCCUCCUACAGCACUCAGACGACAUUGCCAGCCAUUGUGCAUAAUGCUGAAGCUGAAAAGUACAGCUGCGCCAUCACGUCGGGCAAGUUUGAGUGCACUUCGACAUCUUCCAUCCUCCAGCACAUCGGCCGGUUUUAGAGGGAGGCCCAAGCAGCGCUAACCAGUUAUGAUCCCUGCUGCAAAGUCACAGGCAAACCCGAUCAUGUCGCACCACACAAGCAGCGCACGACCAGGUGCCAACUCCAGCACGGUUAGGCAAAUGUUGGAGGCAGAACACACUUGGGGCCCCAGGCGCUUCGUACAGCUAGGACAAGGGCUGAGCCCCGGCGGAAGUAGAGAUAGGUGAUUAUGACAAAUGGAUAGCCAGAGGAUACCCCAGUGGGGAAGUGGAGGGCACAUGCAGGGAGGCAGGGGGAGGCACAGGUAGGGCGGGCAGGCCCCUGCAGGUCCACGGACAGGGGGCACAGCCGCAGAGGCAGGGAGGCAGUAGGACAUGGACAGGAGGAGGCACAGGCGAACAGGCAGCAAGGCAGAGAGGAGCACAGGCAGGGACGUGGACAGGGGGAGGCAGGGCCAGGCACAGCUUGUCCGCGUCCCUGCCUGUGGCCCUGUGCAGCUGUGCUCCCCACGCUUGCGCCCGCCCAGCCGUGCCCGCCGCUCGACCUCCUGGCUCCUAGCACGGCUCCUGGACGGGGAGUGUGGGUGGAACGCCCGCCAAGAUGAGACACGAUGAGAGGCAUGGCCGAUGGCGCCGAGUUAAGCCAUCUCCACGCCCAGUGUUCCGGCCAGUGGUAAUAGAUCUACUGUUACGAUACCUGUUGAAGACAGGGCUGGGCCCUAACUAAUGCCUCUUACGAGUCUUCCAGUGAGUCCGGGGUGGGCUAGGUACAGGGAGCCGCCACACGGGCUGCCGCCUGCUGCCGGGCUGCCCACUCCUACUCCGUUGAACACGACAUGUUGGCAAGAAGGCGCCUUCGCCAGGCAAGUACCUGUCUUCGCGUGUUCAAGCGCCUCUUCAAACCGGUGUUCUUUCAAUGCUUUUGUCAUCGACGCUGGAGCCUGCGGCAGCACUGUCAAGCCGGAAGCAAAGGAUUCCUCGACAGCUCUUGCACAUACCUCGAUCGCUCGUUGCUUUUGCGCAACGGAAAACGAUGCCGGGGCUUUGGGCGCCAUGGUGGCCAUUUAGCUGGUAGGAAAGGAUAAAUCAAGACCUUAAGCGGGUUUGAGCAGAUAUGAGCUCAGCGCUGUUCAAAAAGCCGUAUGUGCUACGGAACUGAAUGCUCUAGGUGAAACAUUUGUGUAUGCUGAAUGACACGGUGGGAUGGGACUGGAUGACCCUGGGCUCUCCACGGAUACCCACGAGCUCGUGAUGGAACAUGGCAAGGGGCAGGAAAGCGUAGGAUACCCACGAGCAUGCGACCCGGUCUACUCCGUUGAAGUAGUAUUACGUGUGUCACGCGUCCACAGCAUGUGCAUACUGCUUUUGAUUGAAAUGACACAUACGCCACGGCGCAGAAUCCGAGCGGGCUGCUGAGGCAACGCGCAGCACCUAGGGUGAGCCACACCCAUGUGCCCCGUGCCCUCCGGGCCUAUCAGCUACACACACCGCCUCCUCUUAACUGACUGGGUUCACUGGGCCACCCCAGCCAAUCCUGCCGCCACCCAACACCACGUGAUCACACCCCGGCCCGGUCGCUCCACGCAGUCACUCGUGUCGCUCCGCACACACCUCCUGCCACAUACCACAGACCAUAAACACGCGCUCGCUCGCUGGCCCACUCCUCCCAGCCCACGUCUUCAAGCCUUUACCCACACCUGCACACCAGCUUGCGGCACCAUGCUCCUCUUCUGCCAAAUACACAAACAGCCCCAACCUAUAGCCGUGCCGCUCCGAGCCCACACGUGGCUUUGGUCCUCCCCACCACCCCUCGCUACCAGGUCGCCCUCCGCCCGCCGCGCUACCAGUUCUGUCGCUGCUCGGG
rnacentral:lncRNA from 1 species